rnacentral:tRNA from 1 species
GUGUGUGUGGUUUAUGUGGUAGCACACUUACCUGGCAUGUGCGAGGCACUGGGUUCGAUUCUCAGCACCAUAUACA